CGUGUAGGCGGCCGGUCAAGUCCGGUGUGAAAGCCCGAGGCUCAGCCUCGGAAGUGCAUCGGAAACUAGCCGGCUCGAGCGCGAUAGAGGAGGGUGGAAUUCCUGGUGUAGCGGUGAAAUGCGUAGAUAUCAGGAGGAACACCGGCGGCGAAGGCGGCCCUCUGGAUCGUUGCUGACGCUGAGACGCGAAAGCGUGGGGAGCAAACAGGAUUAGAUACCCUGGUAGUCCACGCUGUAAACGAUGGGUACUAGGUGUUCGGGGUGUUGACCCCCUGAGUGCCGACGCUAACGCAUUAAGUACCCCGCCCUGGGGACGUACGGCCGCAAGGUUAAA
rnacentral:rRNA from 1 species